AUGAACGCUGGCGGCGUGCCUAAUACAUGCAAGUCGAGCGAACAGACGAGGAGCUUGCUCCUCUGACGUUAGCGGCGGACGGGUGAAUAACACGUGGAUAACCUACCUAUAAGACUGGGAUAACUUCGGGAAACCGGAGCUAAUACCGGAUAAUAUAUUGAACCGCAUGGUUCAAUAGUGAAAGACGGUUUUGCUGUCACUUAUAGACGGAUCCGCGCCGCAUUAGCUAGUUGGUAAGGUAACGGCUUACCAAGGCAACGAUGCGUGGCCGACCUGAGAGGGUGAUCGGCCACACUGGAACUGAGACACGGUCCAGACUCCUACGGGAGGCAGCAGUAGGGAAUCUUCCGCAAUGGGCGAAAGCCUGACGGAGCAACGCCGCGUGAGUGAUGAAGGUCUUCGGAUCGUAAAACUCUGUUAUUAGGGAAGAACAAAUGUGUAAGUAACUAUGCACGUCUUGACGGUACCUAAUCAGAAAGCCACGGCUAACUACGUG
rnacentral:rRNA from 1 species